rnacentral:snRNA from 1 species
GUGCUCACUUCAGCAGCACAUAUACUAAAACUGGAACGAUACAGAGAUUAGUGUGGCCCCUCAAGGAUGACACUCAAAUUCGUGAAGCGUUCCGUAUUUUU